rnacentral:rRNA from 1 species
UACGUAGGGGGCUAGCGUUGUCCGGAUUUAUUGGCCGUAAAGAGCGUGUAGGCGGCCAGGUAGGUCCGCUGUGAAAACUCGAGGCUCAACCUCGAGACGUCGGUGGAAACCAUCUGGCUAGAGUCCGGAAGAGGAGAGUGGAAUUCCCGGUGUAGCGGUGAAAUGCGCAGAUAUCGGGAAGAACACCCGUGGCGAAAGCGGCUCUCUGGGACGGUACUGACGCUGAGACGGCGAAAGCGUGGGGAGCGAACAGGA